CAGAUUUAAACUCAAUCUUUCUGACUUUAGGUCUCUGUCUACUGUGCCACCUAGUUGCCUCUGACGCAGAGGGAGAAGACAAAGAUCAUUCAUAAAAACAUAAAGGACAUCAGAAAUGACAUUCUGAAGGAAGGCUUGGGGUCCAAGAAAUCAAGAUCCUAUCUCUGAUGGAGAACUCAAGUAUUUAUUGUGAGUUCUUCCUCUGGAUGUGGAUAGCGUUCUUUCUCAUAAGUCCCUCAGAAUUGUCCUGGAUCACUGCAUUGCUACUAAUAGAGAAGUCCAUUAUGUUCGAUUGUACCAUAGUGUAUCAGUCUCUGUGUACAAUGUUCUGGUUCUAAGCUCCUCUCACUCUGCAUCAAUUCCUGGAGGUCCUUCCAGUUCACAUGGAAUUCCUCCAGUUUAUUAUUUCUUUCAGCACAAUAGUGUUCCAUCACCAACAUAUACCACAAUUUGUUCAGCCAUUCCCCAAUUGAAGGGCACCUCCUCAUUUUCCAAUUUUUUUGCCACCACAAAGAGCGCAGCUAUGAAUACUCUUGUACAAGUCUUUUUCCUUAUUGCCUCUUUGGGGUAUAAACCCAGCAGUGCUAUGGCUGGAUCAAAGGGCAGUCAGUUUUUUAGCGCCCUUUGGGCAUAGUUCUAAAUUGCCCUCCAGGAUGGUUGGAUCAAUUCACAACUCCACCAGCAAAAAAUUAAUGUCCCUACUUUGCCACAUCCCCUCCAGCAUCCAUUACUUUCCUUUGCUGUCAUGUUAGCCAAUCUGCUAGGUGUGAGGUGAUACCUCAGAGUUGUUUUGAUUUGCAUUUCUCUAAUUAUAAAAGAUUUACAACAUAGUUUUGAUUUCUUUAUCUGAAAAUUUCCUGUUCAUGUCCCUUGCCCAUUUAUCAAUUGGGGAAUGGCUUAAUUAUUUCUACAACUGAUUUAGCUCUUAAUAAAUUUGAGUAAUUAGACCUUUGUCA
rnacentral:lncRNA from 1 species